rnacentral:lncRNA from 1 species
AAAUGACAAUGGUACACCGUUCGUUUUAUGUGGAAUCGUGGAUACCAGAAGCAGUAAGCCUGCCGAGAACAUUAUGGCGAGUCGAUGCAUCUGAAAUUAUAGAACACAGACUUUUGACGUUUUACCUCUUAACUCCAAGCCCUUCAAUAGAUUCAUCAGGAACCUUUUGAUCAACACCGAGAUGAAGUCUGAAGAAUUGGAAAGUCCCGUUAUAAAAUGAAACAUAAAUUAGCAAUUUUAAAUCCAACAAAAGAAACCACACGACGAACCUGUUAUAAAGAUUUAUGUACAUGAUGAUGAGCGUAAAAAAUUUAUCUAUAAUCGCACCAAUUUUUCAUCCAUAGACACAGUUAUAGAAGGCCCUAUUGCCGGUCUAUGAAUAAUAGAUGAGCCACGCGCUCCAAAGGUCCCAGCAGCUAAAAUUCGAACGUAUACUACACAUAAUACCUAUACAGAAGUAUGGAGUUCGAAGGGGCAUUGAGUUUUAUUGAAAGUUGAAGAAAACCAUGAGAAGUCGGAGGUCCUGGCGUAUAUAUCUGGUUAUAUGCGACCUAUGUACGUAUAUAGACCGGAGAUUUGAAGAGAGCUAGAAGUUGAAUCUUCGUAAUUCUCGUUGACCCGGUUUUGAGAGAGGAAAUGCGCGAUGACGUAAAGAAAUCUACCGGACAUAUGGGUUAUUUAUUCAUAGAAAAUCCCGAUGAGGUUCGCAUUUGAUUAUCGUUAAGCGCCCGGAGCAGAACCGACUUUCCAGAGUUUUCAGAAAAUGAGUAUGGCUGCAGUAUGAGUUGUAGCAACAGCGGCUGUGGAGCUGGAGUUGGAUAUGUUUUCCAAAUUUAUAUUCUACGCCCGGUACCUACCCGCCUAAUUUGUAUAUUCCAAUGAGAGGAAUGAAAAGAAGAACAAUAAUAAGAAAAAUGUGAUGCAUACGUAAGCGCACGUGUGUGCACAAGAUUAUCAUUCCACACCACGUCAACCUGGGAACUGAUUUGCAGAGGGUUAGUGCCGGUCAAUUUAUACGUUCAAAAACAACAAUGCUAUCCCUCGCUCUACUAGGAUUGGCUGUUACGACGAGGUGGGGGUUUUCCUUGGCAACCAAUCAUUUUCAACAGAGAGAGCUCUAAAGCCUUUUAGUUAAAAGUUCUUAUUCGUAUACCGAACGUUGGACACAGGACAGUAUACUAGGUCCGUGAUGACGUUCUUCUCUACGAUGCAUACCUCUACCUACAUCAGCAGCAGCAGUAGUAGCACCAGCAGCAGCGGUACCCGCAGCAACGUCAUUAUUAACGUUAAUGAAACGCUUACCCAUGGGAUAGUUAAAAAGCCUGGAGCCCCACGAUAUUUGAGGCAUGAAUAAUCAUCCGUACUACGAAAGCAAUUUUAAUUGCGGGAAAUGUAGUACGUAUACCUAUCCAGGUAUAAUAGGUAUUAUGGAAAAUGAAAAGAGAAAAGAUAAUCGUGGAUGUCAUAGGGAGAUACGCAUACGUGGUAUCUAGAUGCUCUUGUCGGAAGAUUUUUAAUUCCCUGUGACAGUUUGGGGAUCCUCGGACGGACGAAUGUUUUUCCUUUUUUUUCACAGGACUCGCUUCAUUCGUCGGGGAACUUUAUUUACGAUUGUAUAAUGUGAAGAAAAAAAAGGUAUUUCGCAUACAUUUUAUUCUAUAAAUAUAUUUUAAACGCAAUUUAUUCGAAAGUAUCUGUAGCUGUUUCGUAUUAUCAUGGACAUCACGAAUUUGGAUGGUCCAAGACAAACAUAAUGUGGAAAUUGGUUUACUCA